UACGUAGGGGGCAAGCGUUGUCCGGAAUCAUUGGGCGUAAAGAGCGUGUAGGCGGCUCGAUAAGUCUGCUGUGAAAGUCCAGGGCUCAACCCUGGAAGGCCGGUGGAAACUGUCGGGCUAGAGUCCGGAAGAGGCGAGUGGAAUUCCCGGUGUAGCAGUGAAAUGCGUAGAGAUCGUAAGGAAGACCAGUGGCGAAGGCGGGUCUCUGGACAGUUCCUGACACUGAGGCACGAAGGCCAGGGGAGCAAACGGG
rnacentral:rRNA from 1 species